rnacentral:rRNA from 1 species
AUACGGAGGGUCCAAGCGUUGUCCGGAAUCAUUGGGUUUAAAGGGUCCGCAGGCGGUCAAUUAAGUCAGAGGUGAAAGCCCAUCGCUCAACGAUGGAACUGCCUUUGAUACUGGUUGACUUGAGUUAUACGGAAGUAGAUAGAAUAAGUAGUGUAGCGGUGAAAUGCAUAGAUAUUACUUAGAAUACCGAUUGCGAAGGCAGUCUACUACGUAUAUACUGACGCUGAGGGACGAAAGCGUAGGGAGCGAACGGGAGUAGAUACCCCAGUAGUCC